UAUGAAGAGAUCAAACAAACAAUGAAAUUAAAAAAGAAACUAGGAAUCUCGGAUAAACAAUAUUGUUAUUGCUACAAAAAUAGAUCAAGCUUAUGAAUGAAAUAUAAAUUCUACAUUAGGUGAGGCUCGAGGGAAUCGCUUCAUCUCCUCCAUCAUUUUCAUUCCCCUAUGGCGGAUUUCUCCAGAAGUUGCAAUGUAUAUUUUCUCAAGUGCAGUUGCAUAUGCCAAUACAUGCUUCAAGAAUUCUGUUUCAGUUUUAUCAACCCAGUAGAGGAGGGUCAUAUCCACGCUUUUGAGCCGCUUCAUUGCACUUUGUGUCAUUUCUUUUUAUCGCAAGGGAUGUGUACAUGCACUCGCACGCUUCUAAAGCAUCAGAAGUAAUUAGAAGCCUUUCUAUGUUGGGGAAGCGGCUGAUCAAGUCAAGCACAUAUGUAACCCAGUCAACCUUGGCAAAGAUCAAAUUCUUAAAAUUCAAAAUUUUGAUGUUGUCUAGUGUUAACUGAGGCUCUGGUACGGUAAAGGACUCCAACAUGUUAAAAGGCAUGCCCAAUGCAACUUCCUCAAGCAGAGGGGUUCUUCUAAAGCAAAGGGAAUUUGCUCUGCCGCAGAAAAACGGCCAGAUCCGUUAUCUACCGAGUGUCGAACUUUAUGUCAAUGUUGGGAUUUCACCAGUCAGAGAGUUCAACUCAGAGGCUUACCCAUAGGAGAGUCCGCUGAGAGAGAUCGAAAGCUGCCCUCUAUUUUCUCUAGGGUGAUGUUUUG
rnacentral:misc_RNA from 1 species